UAUGCACUAACUACCAUAUGCUAGCAACUCUCAGGGCUCAUCCACACCGAAGCCCCUAACCAUUGUGUCUGCACAUGUUGACUUUCAACUCUCAGCGACUAGACAGCCCCUCCCCCCUGGGAGCUGCAGGCUAAAAAUAGAGCAGGCAGCCUGCAGCAGGGAGCCGAUUCUGCAUGCAGCCCAAGUUUCCCUCUAUCACCGCCAGUCAGACAGCAAGCAGCACUAACUCUGGCUGGCUGCAGCGAUAGCUACCUCUGCCCAGCUACAGGAGAAGGCACUCUCCCAGUGGAGUCUGGAGAAACCAGGCAGAGCCAGCUAGUGCCCCACUACUGGGCACAGAUCACAUUCACUGGUAUGUUACACAGUGUAGGGCAGAGUGACUUAAUGUGUGUUACACAGUGUUACUGUUAGAGCAGGGUGUCUUAGUGACAGGUAGAGAAGAGCAAAGUGAGGCUCAGUGAAAACAUUACAAUAGGAAGUGUGAGUGUAGGGCAGAGUGACUUAAUGUGUGGGAGUGUAGGAAUGAAUGGGUAAAAAUAAAUAUUUUUAAAAUAAAAAUACAAUACGAGUAUAUAUAUAUAUAUAUAUAUACACACAAUAAAUAGAGUGAGCGGGUUUGUGAGAAAAUGUUCAGGAACUUAUGAGUAGCGACAAACUCCGUUUUUCGUAAUACAUUUAUUAAAUGCAGUCUCGUGAUUCCUGUCCUCCUCCCAGCUGAGCAGGCAAAAAUUUGAUUACAUGUUCUAGUUCUCACAAAACAAGUUUACUUGCUCACUGAACGGAGCACUUCUCAUUUGAUAAAAAGUGACUAGCAGGCUGUUUGCUUUCCACACUGAAAUUGAAUGAUGUGCUUUCAGUUAAAUGAUUCCAGAUCAUAAAUAAUAACAAGAUAAUAGAAUGGGAGAUGAAACACACUGGACUGACUGGGGAUGAGACACAGCAGAGAGUUGCAGGAGUUUUGUGAGGGGAGAGGGGAUAUCUAUUACCUAUCUGGAGGCCACAGAGGCGCAGCGGAGGGUCCAUGGAGGUGUGCAGCCGCCUCUUCUUCCUCCAGCAGCGGGCGGGGGCUGCGGUGGUGUCGCUCCAUCCAGAUGUAGCAGUUGUUCUGUGCCACGCCGGUCUGGGAGUCCAGGAAGGGCAGGCGCACGCUGCGCUCAGCACACAGGCGGGCAUUGUAGCUGCGGCACUGCUCAAUGGCAUCCUUGUAGAACUGGUCACCCAACCUGCAGCAGGGAGACCAUUCAGACCGGUCAACACCACUUGUGGUUGGCACUGACAGGCGCUGGUGCCCAGAACAGAAGACUGCUGUGCACCAAUGGGGGCUCCUGCUCUGGCAAGAGCAGGUCCGCCUCCAACCCUUUCGGGACCAGUCAGAAGACCAACACGACAAGACUCCACCUACAUAUUCCAUGUAUAAAAUCUGCUGUGACCAAUGUCUAAGUCUCUUUUUCACCUGACUCCUUAUCGAGUUAUAUGAACUAGAUCCGUGCACGUAAAACUGCAGGACAAGAUAUCUUUUAACUCAUUAAAACUGCCUUUUGUUACAACUGAAA